CACGUAAGGGGCGAGCGUUGUUCGGAAUUAUUGGGCGUAAAGGGCACGCAGGCGGUUUUGCAAGUCUGAUGUUAAAGACCUGGGCUUAACUCAGGGAAUGCGUUGGAAACUGCAAGACUAGAAUCUUGGAGGGGGAGUCGGAAUUCCUAGUGUAGGGGUGAAAUCUGUUGAUAUUAGGAAGAACACCGGUGGCGAAGGCGGACUCCUGGCCGAAGAUUGACGCUGAGGUGCGAAAGCAUAGGGAGCAAACAGG
rnacentral:rRNA from 1 species